UACGGAGGGUACAAGCAUUAAUCGGAAUUACUGGGCGUAAAGGGCGCGUAGGCGGAUUUGUAAGUCAGAUGUGAAAUUCCAACACUCAAUUUUGGAACGGCAUUUGAAACUACAAGUCUCGAGGUAUGGCGGAGAAAGCGGAAUUCCACGUGUAGCGGUGAAAUGCGUAGAUAUGUGGAAGAACACCGGUGGCGAAAGCGGCUUUCUAGCUGUUACCUGUCGCUGAGGCGCGAGAGCAAGGGGAGCAAACAGG
rnacentral:rRNA from 1 species